GUUACUCCGGCUUCUUCAUAGAGGGCGGAGAAGGCUGGAGCGCGGUGGUGAUUUUGUGCCAGGGAUUCCCAGAGACGCGCUGAAAAGGCUGGCAGGGCUUAGGAAGCUGGGGGGUUAGGGACACACAUACAAGCCCCCACCCCCGGGAGGGGAAGGGGGCUGGAGGCGAGGCUUGAGGGCGGCGGAGGAAUGGUGUCUGCUCGGGGGGAAGGGGCGAGCCCUGCCUGUUGGUGUUGAGGGGCUGCGGGCAGUGGAGGCUCCGCGGGUCGAAAGCAGCUCCAUGCCCAUCGGUGGGUGGAACGUGUAAAGGUCGGAACGCCGAGGUCGAGUCUGGUGUCCCCUCGGAAUCCUUAACGUGGUCUCUGUCUAACGUAUUUCAUUUAGCCCCCGUUGGGAUUAAUUCAUUGGGAGCAGUUUCGCUGGUCUGGAUCCUCCAGGAGCUGGACAACCUUGACGGGCUUUUUGUCUUGGGUUCCAGCCCCCUUUCCCUUCCUCCUCUUCCAGAUGCCUUUUCUCUGCCCCUCCUCGCCCGGUACAGACAUUUCCAGCGCAGGCUGCUUCUCUUGGUGUCCGUCGUCGAAGCCACUUCUUGGGAUUUCGGCUCGUUUCCCUCUGGGGUGUUUUUUGAGGAGGGAGAGUGCCCCCCUCCUCCACGAUGGGAUUUUCCUCCCUUGCCGAAAUGGACUUUCAUUGAUUUCUACUUACUUCUACUUUUAGUGACCAAUUCCCUAGGCGUAUUUUUGUGGUAGUUCCUUUUUUCAAAUACAUACUCUGUAAAAUGGAGAACGAAAUUUUUACUCCCCUUCUGGAGCAGUUCAUGACCAGCCCCUUGGUCACUUGGGUUAAAACGUUUGGACCUCUGGCUGCAGGAAAUGGGACCAACCUUGAUGAAUAUGUGGCUUUGGUGGAUGGGGUAUUCUUGAACCAGGUCAUGCUCCAAAUGACAGUCUCACUCUGUUGCCCAGGCUACUGGAGUGCAGUGGCCCGAUCUUGGCUCACUGCAACCUCCACCUCCCGGAUUCAAGCAAUUCUCCUGCCUCAGCAUCCUGAGUCGCUGGGACUACAGCACGUGCCACCACACCUGGCUAAUUUUUUGUAUUUUUAGUAGAGACCAUAUUAGUAUCACCGUAUUAGCCAGGAUGGUCUUGAUCUUCUGACCUCGUGAUCCACCCGCCUCAGCCUCACAAAGUGCUGGGAUUAUAGGCGUGAGCCGCCGCACCUGGCCUGUAUCUUUUUUUUUUUUAACUUAAGUAUUAAGUAUAGCGGCAGCCCCUAACCUUUUUGGUAGUAGGGAUCAUUUUCAUGGAGGACAGUUUUUUCCACGGACCAGGGCGGUUGGGAGGGGGGCAUUAGAUUCUCAUAAGGAGUGGGCAACUUAGAUCCCUCGUAUGGCAGUUCACAAUAGGGUUCGUGAGCUCCUAAGAAAAUCUAAUGCUGCCACCAGUCUGACAGGAGGCGGAGCUCAGGUGGUAAUGCUCACCUCCCCACCGCUCACCUGCCGUGCAGACUGGUUCCUAACAGGCCACGGACCUGUACUAGUCCUCGGCCCAGGGGUUGGGGACCCUGAAGCAUAGUACUGAAUGUGUAUACUGACUAAGACAAACCUGUAGUUAAUAGUGAAUGAUCCCAAGCAGGUAUUUGAAAACAAAUCUCUGGUUAUUAGGUUGCUUUUUUUUUUUCUUUUCUUUCAUUAAUCUGUGUGGGUUUCAUGUUUCUUUUGAGAGAGAGAGAGUGUGCUGGGAGAGUGAGUUGUGUGGGCGUGUGAACUGGAAUAAAUUAGGGAGCCCUGAUGUCUAGAAGUUAGGUUUGGCCUUUAAAGGUAUGGUUAGUCAGGGAAACCUAUCUGUGGAGGAGGUUAGAUUUGAUUUAAACCUUGAAAGGUGACUGGACUUGGAUAGCUAUCCGUGAGGAGAGGAGGGUAUUUUAGGCCAAGGAAGCAUUUUAGGGGAAAAGCAUACUGCAUGUAUGAUUUGGGAAAUGGUGAGGAGACUAGCCUUAGUGGAGGAACCAAGUUGAGGAAUAGUACAAUACAGUAUUUUAAAAUCUUAGGUCAUUUAUUCCUUUGCCUUUUAAAAACUAUUUUGCGGCUGGGCGCAGUGGCUCAUGCCUGUAAUCCCAGAACUUUGGGAGGCUGAGGCGGGCGGAUUACCUGCGGCCAGUUUGAGACCAGACUUGCCAACAUGGUGAAACCCCAUCUCUACUAAAAAUACAAAAAUUAGCUGGGCGUGGUGGCACAUGCCUGUAACCCCAGCUACUCGGGGGAGGCUGAGGCAGGAGAAUUGCUUGAGCCCGGGAGGCAGAGGUUGCAGUGAGCCGAGAUCAUGCCACUGCACUCCAGCCUGGCCGACAGAGUGAAACUGUGUCUCGAAAAAACAACUAUUUUGCUAAAUUGGAGGUCCCCAAAACAGUUUCUUUCUCAUGGACCAUUUGUAGACCAUGGCUGAAAGUUUUGUUAACUUGUCUAUUAAUAAUUCCUUACCUUUCUAUAUGUGUACCUUUCCUCUAACUUGGUUCAUUGCAUCUCAAAUGUAUGUGUGGCUAUUUUUUGUCUUCUAUUUUACUUUUUAUUAUAUUUCUAAUUUAAUUUUUGUUUGUCUUAGUGCUUUUGUAAUAGGUAUCUAUUAUUUUCCCUUUAAUUGGUGGGUUUAUAAUGGAGUUAGCAUUGAGCCUUUUGGAGCACUUUUCUGGUACACUGAAAAAGACAAAUUAAACCAAUAUUGUGGUAAUCUUAUUCUACUCUCACUAAUAGAAAUUCAUAUACUUAGAGUUGUCCUGUAUGGGGACUUUUUAAAAAAUUAGAGAAAUUGAUGAUUGGAAAAAAGAUUUUCUUACCAAAUUUAAAAACUGCUUACUUAAGGUAAGUUUCUAUGACUAAAUUUAAUUCAUUAAUUAGAAGAGAUUGUUCUUUGGGAUUUUUUUCUCAUUUUAAAGGGCUUUCAUCUCAAAAAUGAAAGUGAUACUUGUCACCCAUAAUUAAUCAAGUGAACUAUUUAAAUUACCUUAGGAGGGGAGUACAGAUUAAGAAGCCUUACUAUACUGAAUUGAUAGUAUGGGAGUGAAAGCCGUAGUAGGUAAGUCUGUCACUGGUCAAGGGAAAUACCUGACUGUAUGUCAGCUCACUUUGGAAUUUCUUGAGUCUCUAGGCCUAAGUAGAUCUGGAGCAAUUACUACUCUAGAAUACUGAUUAAAACAAAUUAAAACCAACUUCUGUGACCCAAUCUUAAGGCUUAGUGACAAUGGGUAAAAUUUUCCAUCACAGAUCAGUGCUGUCCAUUGAAUCUAUUAAACAAUCUUCUUUUGUUUCCGUUACUGGUCAUGAGGUUGGCAACCAUGUAAGUGAAUGUUCUAGAUUAGCAUAAUAUUAAGUCCCCAGGUCCCUAUACCAAGAACAGGAAUUGAUUUGCCUAAUACAGUAGUUCUCAAAUGAGAUCAGACCCCUGCUAGCACAGAGAUUCCUUCAAGGUUGUCUGUCAGGUCAGAAUUCUUUUCAUAAUGAUACUAAGAUGUCCUUUGCCUUUUUUUGCCUGUGUUGCUAAAGCACUGAUGAUGCAAAAGCAAAGGUAAGUAAAACUGCUGACAUUUUAGUAUGAAUCAAGGAAUUGUACCAAAUUGUAUGGGCAAUCAUUGUAUUCUUCUCAUUAUACACUUGUAAGAUAUAUAUAAAUAAACCCAGUUUCAAUUAAAAAUGUCCUUGAUGAAGCAAUAAAAGUUAUUUUGUUGGAUCUUGA
rnacentral:sRNA from 1 species